AUUAUUAUAUCCGUUAGACACAGAGACGCAGCAGAGCAGAGUCAAAAGAGAGCAGAGAAUGACGCAAGAGCUUCCCGCGUUGUGUCUGAACAGUCCGAGCUCACCAUACAAGCUCCAGCCAAUGCCAUCAAUGGCAUCGCCACCAAUUCUCUGCGACCCAGUGCUGCGUUGGAGCACUGCUAUUGGCCCUUUCACCCUUAUAUAUUUAUAACCUCAGCCUCAGCUGGUAAGGCAACAAAACCCUAAAUGCUAAAGCUCAUUUGGUCAUUUAGGGUUCAUGGCUGGGUUAACUCCACCUCCCAGAAAGUUUAUAAAAGUUUUUGGCUCCUGGGCUCCAUGAAAAACUUUUCUGCAUUUGAACCAGUUUUGACAGUUGUUACAAGGAGCUCAUCCUAGUUUAAGUUGGACUCAGUGAUCACUGGUAUUUUAGUUCUAUUCAUUGUCCCGUUGUAUUCAUUUGAUACUCAAGUGGGAGAAUGUCAAAACCUAUUAAGCAAACUCGUAAAUAUAUGUGAAUCGUACUUCUCCGUCUCCAGACUCUGCAGUUUCCGGUAUCACUUCCAUGAAUUUUGUUUUUCUGACAUGUUUGAAUCAGUAAUGAUAUUGUUCAUGCAUUGUUGUUCUAAAUUUCAGAAUUCAGAUUAUAAAUAUUGAGCUCUUGUUUUCAGCGUCUAUGAUUUAUUUGGUGGUGUUGUUUUGUUAUGAGGUGU